CAACGCCAAUAAUUUGCAGUUCUCCAAGUUAAAAAAUAAGAAUGACACCAAAUACUUGCUUGUUGAAGUUAUAACUACUUCUAACACAACAAUGAAUGUGGAAUAUGGACAUCAAGUAACUGCCAGCUGAAUACUCAUCAACAAGUGUGGAUAAACAAAUGACAUUGUUCACAAAAGCCUUGAUAGGAAAGAGAAAUGAAAAGUGGUCCUUCAAAGUGAUAAGCACAUCGUCAAAGCCGCAAAGAAGGUGCGUGCUUCAAGUAGUAUCCCACCAACAUCACAAAGAUGAAAUACGCCAAUCUGGGGACACCUUGUUCAUCUUGGUAGUUAUUUUUACCUCUCAAAAACCUGCAGAGAAGAAGAAGCCCUCAGAGCCAAUGACAUGACUCGCCGCAAAGAAGGUGCGUGCUUCAAGUAGUAUCCCACCAACAUCACAAAGAUGAAAUACGCCAAUCUGGGGACACCUUGUUCAUCUUGGUAGUUAUUUUUACCUCUCAAAAACCUGCAGAGAAGAAGAAGCCCUCAGAGCCAAUGACAUGACUCCUUGAUUCGGCACGGUGAAAAUUGAUCCCGUUUGCUAUUUUAAGUUGAGAAUAUGGCGUCGUACGAUCACGAAAUUUCACCAUAUUCAUGAAGUACUGAAGUUAUACUCUCUGCAUUUGAAGACAUGUCAAAGGAAUUAAAUCAAAAGGUAAAUCUGAUAAAGAAAAAAAGAAUAUAACAAAAUUUAGGUUGUAAAUUUGGCAUAUUAU
rnacentral:lncRNA from 1 species